UCAGAAGCCAAGCAGGGUCGGGCCUGGUUAGUACUUGGACGGGAGACCGCCUGGGAAUACCAGGUGCUGUAAGCUU
rnacentral:rRNA from 1 species